rnacentral:lncRNA from 1 species
UUUUUUUUUUUUUUUUUGUUUUGAGACAGGGUUUCUCUGUGUAGUCCUGGCUGUCAUGUGUGGCUGUUGUUUUGUUUCUUGAUUUUAUUGCUUACUAUUUUUAACUCCAUGUACUUGGUUAUUAUUUUUUGUGAACUUUCAAAGGGACUAGUAUCCAGAAUAUGGGAAGAUUACCCCAAACAGAAAUUCAAACCCAUAAAUAAUUAUACAUGAGGAAAUGACUUGAAUAGGAAUAUCAUGGAAAAGAGUAUAUGGUGUAUAGAGUAUAGUAUAGAGUAUAUAGAGUAUAAAGGUGACAAAUGGGUACAAUAACACUUGCCAUAAGAAAAUAAAUAGAAAGUAAAAUUUUGAAUGUUUACUACCUAACAAACUGGUUAAAUUAAAAAAAAAGAAGAAGUAAUGGUGUUGUUAAAAGCUAAAAAAAGGCUCCAGUGGAUUACAGAUUGCUAAUGUAUUGCUAGUAGGAAUGGAUGAUGGCCCAACCAUUCUCAAAACCAAUAUGAUACAGAUAUGACCUAGCACCUCUAAUCUCGAGCAUUUAUCUAAUUAAGGCAAAUUUUUGUGAAAUGAAAAUUAUAAGGUUCUAAUAAUGAGUACUUAGAGUCAAAUUCAAAUCAAACCAAGGGGCCAAUUUAAAACAAAUUUUCAUGCAUCCUUAUCAUUAAAUAAGUAUUAGUCAGUGAAAAAAAUUCUAAACACUAAUACUUACAAUUCUAAAUGACACCAUGUGACCAGCUCAAUUUCGUAUUCAACACAAUGGGGGAGAGGCAUCAAACCCUGACACUAUUACUGAUGCUAUAAUAUGCUUACAGACAGGAGCCUAGCAUGGCUGUCCUCUGAGAGUUUCUGUCAACACCUAACUAAGACAGAUACAGAUACACCAAACUUUUAAACUGAAGUCGGGGACCCCUACAGAAGAAUUAGGGGAAGAACUUAAGGAGCUGAAGGGGCAACCCCAUAAGAAGACCAACUGUCUCAACUAACCUGGACCCCUGGGAUCUCCUAGAACUAAGCUACCAAGCAAAGAGCAUACAUGGACUGGUCUAAGGCCCCCAGCACAUAUAUAGCAGAGGCUUUGUCUGCCUUCAGUAGGAAUGGAUAUGGAUGUACCUAAUCCUGUAUAGAUUUGACUCCCCCAGAAAGGGGAAUGCUGGUGAGCGCCACUCUCUCAGAGGCAAAGGGGAAGGGGAAUGGGAUGAAGAACUGUGGGAGAGGGAACUGAGAGGUAGGGGACAAUGUCUAGAAUAUAAAUAAAUAAAAUAACUAAUUAAAAACUCAAAGCAUUUACUUUUCAAAAUCUUAGUAUGAUGUGGCUAUACAUAUUAGAAUAGAGUUCUCAUAGGCUAAGGCUAGGAAAAGAGUUAUCCUAUGUAGUUGUUAUCAUGCCAGAAUACUUUGUAUCAAUAGUAGAUAUUGGUGCACGCUGGGACACAGAAGUAUUCAAAUUCAUGAAUGUGCAUAUAGAAAAACUUGAAUAAACUCUGAAUUGUACUAACAAUUUCAAGAUUCAAUAUUUUACUGUAGCUGUAUAAGAUGUUUUCUUUGGGAGAGGUACAAUGAAGUUUGUAAUGCUAUCCCAGAGUAUUUGAUUUUGCUGACCAUGCAGCAAUUUUAUCAUUAAUCUACCAUUUGU